UGGGUCUGCUAUAUACAGUUAUCAUGAAUUCUGGCUGGGGGUGUAUGGUAUUAAUAGGAUAAACAUUUAAGCCACAUAUGGAGCGCAUCAAUGCCAUCCUAUAAAGGGGAGUGGGAAAUGUAUGGCUAUUAUGUUUACUACACGCGGGCCACAUGAAACUUUCACGCAAAAAUAAACUGUGGCUUUCAUUCCUAUAUAGUGUGGUUUUAGUGGGAUUUUUAUAGGAACAUUGUAGCCACAUACGGUACGCACCAAAGCCAUUCCAUAAAGAAGAGUGAUAAGUAUAUGGUUAACAUGCAAUUGCCAUAUAUGGCCCACAUGAAUAUUUCUUGUCUUGAUUUAUAUAUAUAAUAUAUAUAAUAAUUUGCUCACAGUAUGUUGUUAUUCUAUAUGGUAUUCAGAUUUGGUUCAAUAUUUACUCAUGCUUCUAACUUAUUUUAAUAAUAUUUAAGGGAACUCAAAUGCGAGGUUGGAAGGAGGGACUCCACGGAAAGCAGUUAAAAAUGUUUUAAAUGUUAUCACGGAAUACAGGCAUUAUUUAGCUUCUUAUUAUAAAUAUACUAUUGUUGGUGACAAAAUUGGUUAUGAUGCAAGCAACAUCGAGGAUGCCAUUGGCGACACGUUAAAACGAGCCAAAAAAAUAAUGUUUUUGCUAGACUGUAUUUAUACAUUGAUAUUAUCAAAAAUAUUACUCUUUUUAUUUUUUUGUAAUAUUUUAUGUCAAUACUGGAAUUUAAUUUUUUAUUAA